rnacentral:pre_miRNA from 1 species
AGCACUAGAAUGCAUAUCGCCGCUUACAGAAGCGUGGAUUUUCACAUACCAAUCGGAAGUGUCUGUGCAAAUCUAUCGCAACUGUACACGGCGAUACUGCAGUUAUUGAAC